AGAGUUUGAUCCUGGCUCAGGACGAACGCUGGCGGCGAGCCUAAUACAUGUAAGUAGAACGCUGAAGAGAGGAGCUUGCUCUUCUUGGAUGAGUUGCGAACGGGUGAGUAACGCGUAGGUAACCUGCCUUGUAGCGGGGGAUAACUAUUGGAAACGAUAGCUAAUACCGCAUAACAAUGGAUGACACAUGUCAUUUAUUUGAAAGGGGCAAUUGUUCCACUACAAGAUGGACCUGCGUUGUAUUAGCUAGUAGGUGAGGUAAUGGCUCACCUAGGCGACGAUACAUAGCCGACCUGAGAGGGUGAUCGGCCACACUGGGACUGAGACACGGCCCAGACUCCUACGGGAGGCAGCAGUAGGGAAUCUUCGGCAAUGGGGGCAACCCUGACCGAGCAACGCCGCGUGAGUGAAGAAGGUUUUCGGAUCGUAAAGCUCUGUUGUAAGUCAAGAACGGGUGUGAGAGUGGAAAGUUCACACUGUGACGGUAGCUUACCAGAAAGGGACGGCUAACUACGUGCCAGCAGCCGCGGUAAUACGUAGGUCCCGAGCGUUGUCCGGAUUUAUUGGGCGUAAAGCGAGCGCAGGCGGUUUGAUAAGUCUGAAGUUAAAGGCUGUGGCUCAACCAUAGUUCGCUUUGGAAACUGUCAAACUUGAGUGCAGAAGGGGAGAGUGGAAUUCCAUGUGUAGCGGUGAAAUGCGUAGAUAUAUGGAGGAACACCGGUGGCGAAAGCGGCUCUCUGGUCUGUAACUGACGCUGAGGCUCGAAAGCGUGGGGAGCGAACAGGAUUAGAUACACUGGUAGUCCACGCCGUAAACGAUGAGUGCUAGGUGUUGGAUCCUUUCCGGGAUUCAGUGCCGCAGCUAACGCAUUAAGCACUCCGCCUGGGGAGUACGACCGCAAGGUUGAAACUCAAAGGAAUUGACGGGGGCCCGCACAAGCGGUGGAGCAUGUGGUUUAAUUCGGAGCAACGCGAAGAACCUUACCAGGUCUUGACAUCCCGAUGCUAUUUCUAGAGAUAGAAAGUUACUUCGGUACAUCGGUGACAGGUGGUGCAUGGUUGUCGUCAGCUCGUGUCGUGAGAUGUUGGGUUAAGUCCCGCAACGAGCGCAACCCCUAUUGUUAGUUGCCAUCAUUCAGUUGGGCACUCUAGCGAGACUGCCGGUAAUAAACCGGAGGAAGGUGGGGAUGACGUCAAAUCAUCAUGCCCCUUAUGACCUAGGCUACACACGUGCUACAAUGGUUGGUACAACGAGUUGCGAGUCGGUGACGGCGAGCUAAUCUCUUAAAGCCAAUCUCAGUUCGGAUUGUAGGCUGCAACUCGCCUACAUGAAGUCGGAAUCGCUAGUAAUCGCGGAUCAGCACGCCGCGGUGAAUACGUUCCCGGGCCUUGUACACACCGCCCGUCACACCACGAGAGUUUGUAACACCCGAAGUCGGUGAGGUAACCUUUUGGAGCCAGCCGCCUAAGGUGGGACAGAUGAUUGGGGUGAAGUCGUAACAAGGUA
rnacentral:rRNA from 1 species